GGGAUAAGGAUCACGGAGGAAUGGUCAGAGCUGGGUAACAGAGACCCCAUCAAGGCAGAAGGGCGCUCUUCACCACUAGGUAUGAACAAGAUGAGCUGGUUUAUGAAGUACCUUCUCACUUUCACGCCAUGAUUAUGUGAAUGAAGGCAGGGCUGGAAACGGCCGGAGGCAGAAAGGAGGGAAGAAGGUUGGACUGAGGCCCAGCACAGAACCGGAGGGGCGGGCCCUUAUCUCUACACAGAGCUUCCCUAAGACCAAGUAACUGAGGCUGACAGAGACUCAGCAGCUUGCCUGAAGUCAUGCAUCAAGUAAACGUUGAGGCAAGAUUCCAACUUGGGACUUCGGACUCCAAGCCCAUUUCGGUGCCUGCUAGGCCAAGGGGAAUGGCAGAAGAGACUGCCUUAGCCGGUGCCACCAGAAUGGUGAGGAAGACGCAUUUCCUCCCUGUGUCUGUGAACAUAGAACUAUAAGGGACAUUAGCCACUGGGACACCUCAUCCCUCAGGGGAAGCCAGAGAACCAAGUCAGUACCAGAAAUAAUUUAGUCACAGACAAGCUGCCUGACAGAUGCCCACACUAACCCACCCUGGCUAAAGCUUUGCCAGAAUUCAGUGGCAAGACUGACAGAACUACGGGCUGGGAGGCAGUAGCACAAAUCCAGACAGCCUUUUUGUCUCACGUCAGAAGGAGGGAACAGGCACCAGUUUCACAUGACCCCACAGCUGGGAGCACAAGGGCUUCAGCUGUGCGGAAUGAAAGUACAAUGGCCAGCAUGGGGAUCUGGAGAGACACCAGAGAAAAAACAGCAUUAACUAUGGAGGGAACUCAAAGACCCCAGGGCUGCUCAAGUCUUCCCUAGAAUUGUCUCAGGAGGGUAGCUGUGCCAGACCCUGUUGCUGAGAAAACUCUGGUAAAGAACAGGCAAGAGACCCCAAUGGGUCAGAGGAAGGGAUCUAGGUCAACACAGUCAUUUAGAACCCGAGAAAGGACCUGAAGUCAGGAGGACCUGAGUUCAAAUCCGGCCUCAGACCCUGGGCAAGUCACUUAACCCCAACUGCCUAAAAAAAACGAAACCGAGGUCUUUGGCAAAGGAGUGAUUUGCCAAAAGUCACUCAAUUCUCAAAUGGAUCUAUGCCUUGUUGAUUCCCUCCUGUGAUCACAGCCCAUCUAUGCCUCACCAACUAUAGGAACUUCCUCUGUGACCCGGCCUCCCAUGACACCCCCCACCCCACCCGCAAUGACAAUCUAGUUUGACAAAUGAAUUUCAACCUACUUUAUGCUUUCUUGAUAAUUAUGAGAGGGUUGAACAAGACCUCUGCUGUUUACCUUCUGAGGAAUUUUAUGUAACUUUGAUAUGUGUGGGGGAGAUACCACAUGGGGAGAGAAGCUAGUGCUCUGUUCAACUCAAUCAAAAGCUUUUUUUUUUUUUUUUAAAGCGAACGAAAAAAUAAAGCACAGGAGUUUCUUGGAUUCUCGAAAUCUUUUCGUCACAUGUCUAAUGGUAAAGAUGUGUCUGCUGUGGAUAGCCCAUCACUUGUGAAAGCCGGCUUGCUCUGAGCCGGCAUGGUGUGUAGCCCGGCUUCUUCCCUCCCUCUCCAUCCACCUGUACCUUCGCUGACUGCCCCUCAGGAUAAGAUUCUGUAGAGGUUCCAGCCCAGCAUUUCCUUGUGGUUCUCCCUCCCUUUUGAUCUCAUCCUCGGGUGCCAUCAGCCAGACUUUCUUUAGCUGGGCCUAUCGCAUUGUUGCACUGCCAAUUGCACUGAUUCUCUCACACUCACACACACACAGGUGGGUGGGUGGGGGGUACAAAGGAGGGAAGAAAAGUUCCUCACACAGGAACCUGGAUAGCUUGUGUAAAGGGAUAGAAAAAGCAGCUGGGCCAUCAUGUGUCCUGAAUAACAAGGUUAGUUUGGCUGGACCACAAGCCUGCAAAGGUAGGUGGGAGCCAGGCCGUGAGAAGGCUUCAAAUGACAAGCAUGCAUUUGUAUUCAUUCCCAAAGCUAACAGGUGGUCACCAGAGAGCUUCAUAAAAUUUCUCUGCCUCUCUAACCUCUGUAUAAAUUGCAAUUAUUUUCAAGUGGUCUUUUCUGCAUAUAUUUCUUAUGAGUGCUGAAAUACAAAAUGAGCAGCUGUCCUGUAAAAUAACCAUGCUCGGUAAACCCCAGCAGCUGAGAACUCUCAGCUGAGAACAGUUAACUGCACUUUUCCACCUCCUUUGGGAGUUUCAUUUCUAGUAAGAAUAUGCAGGUUUGUACGAUGCUGGCACUUCAGCGGUCAACACACGUGCUGGCCACCAGACCAGGCUCUCCCACGUGAGGAAGACAGUCUAAAAACUGUGUGAUUCCUACCAGGCUCUGUCCCCUUCUCUACCAGUGUCACUGCAAAAACAAGAGGAUGAAGCUCACUUCCCGAGAAUGAAGUCCGUUCAGCAAUUCUUCUUAGUUUAUGGCUUGCGACAAACCCAUGGCCAGAGUCCUGUGACAGAGCCCGUCCACGCUCCAAAGCCUGAAAGCAAGGCCAUCCAGGAAGACCUGCCAGAGCCUGUGCUUGGCUGGCAUGUCCUUCUGCCAAACCACUGGAGGGCACAACUUUGUGGCCAAGGUCACACACAGAGUCAAGCAAGGAGCAGAACUCGGGUUUGAAAUUAGGUUGUUGGGAUUCACGUGCAUGUCAGUAGGAAAAUCUCUAGAUUUGAAGGCAGAGGACCUGAGUUCAAAAACUG